UUGAGUUUCGUUCGAAGAGAGGAGGCACUAGCGUCAUCAUCGUCCACUUUUUUCUAAUUCUCCAUCUCCUGCCUGCUCUCUGCUGUAGAUGCUGGCUUGCGUUCAUCCAGUUGAUGAAGUGGUGCGGCCAUUUCUGAAAUACAGACAUUUCUUUUUGACCUAGAACGGAAAUUCUUCGUCUCACGAGUUGGUCUUCUCGCCCUUCACUUCAUUGCUAAACCCUCCACUUCCAGUAUCAACUAGACCCUGGUCAACAACGUCCUGGCUCUGCUGCGAGUGGAAAACAGAUAGUAACAGUUCUUGGAUAUUUUGCUGUUUUUGUUUUCUGUGAUAAAAGACGAGCUGUGUAUUUCGGAGUUGAUAGAAAAUGGAUUUCCAUCACCGUGAGACGUAGGCAGGGUUUUUCCGGUGCUGUAACGUCGCCCUGGGUUUUCCUCCAAAUGCGGAAGGGCCUUGGGCUGGCAACAGAGACCUGAGAAGCGCAACGUCAGGGGACAUUGACACGGGACCGCGUCCUCGACUCUUAACACCUGGCAAAAGCCUGUCAUCUUCUCCCCACCCACAUGUGGGCGACGAGAAAGACUCUCCCAAGAUAAAUCCCCUGUAAGGUGUUGAUCAUCAGAUAGGGGAAGGGCAAGCUCUGUUGGUAGCUCUACUGCAUGUGUAGUAGCCGAUUGUUGAGGUUCCGUAGCCUGCGAGAACAGACUGCCGUGGCCCAACGCACUUGUUAUUGAGAGGAGAGUGGCCUUGGAGAGUAAUUUGGUAAAAGGAGUGGGUGGGAUGAUGCCACCAUUCAUUUAGAAAGGUCGACAUGAUAGGCAGCAGUACCCUUUGCCAAACAGACAAACUCCAGAUUGCCUGAACAUUUAUUUCAGAUCCUUCUGCCAAAGACCACAAUCUUAGCUGAGUGCUCUCGGACUUUAGAUUCACCCAGAAGGAUCACGUUGUGUUACGGGGAGAUCCGUUGUAAACAUUGAGAUAACUGAUGCACUAGAGACCACUGUGGCAGAAGCCAGAACCUACUUGCCAGAAUGGCUAAAUUGUAUGACUUCCAGUGGCAGACAACCGUCCCUGAUGGCCUACUAAAUGGAGCAUCCUUUGAUCGCUAUGAUGAGGACUCUGGAAAUGUUGAGCCUAACUGUCUCUUCCGAGUGGAUGAAUAUGCUUUCUUCAUCAUUUGGAAAAGUGAAGGAAGGGAAGGCCAAGUGUUGGAUCUUUCUCAGAUCAAUGACGUCCGCAAAGGCAUUGCCCCCAAGG